rnacentral:sRNA from 1 species
CAGGGAGCCCUGGAGACUGUUUAGCCAUGAAAUAGUGGCAGGAUGAGCAACAGCAGGGCAUACAUUACCCACACUGGCCCUGCAAGGUGCCUCAACCCAGACACGGAGGGUUCCCCUCUCAAGUCAAGAGGUGAGUUGAGUCUCAAUGAGCCAUUCAGUCUUUGGUCUCU